UACGGAGGGGGCGAGCGUUAUUCGGAAUUAUUGGGCGUAAAGGGCGCGUAGGCGGCCCGGUAAGUCAAAGGUGAAAUCCCUCGGCUCAACUGAGGAACUGCCUUUGAAACUGUCGGGCUUGAGGCCGGGAGGGGGUAGCGGAAUUCCCAGUGUAGCGGUGAAAUGCGUAGAGAUGUGGAGGAACACCGAUGGCGAAGGCAGCCCCCUGGGUUAACACUGACGCUCAGGCACGAAAGCGUGGGGAGCAAACAGG
rnacentral:rRNA from 1 species